rnacentral:lncRNA from 1 species
GAGCCACCUUCUUCUCCGGUGAGCUUGGAUUUUCCAGCCAAAUUGCAGAAAUUCAAAAGGUCACCAAAGUACACGAUCCUUAUACCAAAAUGAAGCUGGGGUGAUGUACAUCACCCCUGUAACCUUGAAUCACACUCAAGAUUCCUAUAAAUGGAGAAAUCUGAGGUGGAAGAUUCAGGUGUGGAAAAUGCAGAUCAAGGAAAAACGAAAUUGAAGCUACCACUAGCUUGCCUCUCAAGUG